rnacentral:rRNA from 1 species
AACGUAGGACACAAGCGUUAUCCGGAGUUACUGGGCGUAAAGGGCGUGUAGGCGGAUCAAUAAGUCUGAUGUGAAAGCCCACGGCUCAACCGUGGAGGGUCAUUGGAAACUGGGGGACUUGAGUGCAGAAGAGGAGAGUGGAAUUCCACGUGUAGCGGUGAAAUGCGUAGAGAUGUGGAGGAACACCAGUGGCGAAGGCGACUCUCUGGUCUGUAACUGACGCUGAGGCGCGAAAGCGUGGGGAGCGAACAGG